rnacentral:rRNA from 1 species
ACGAACGCUGGCGGCGUGCUUAACACAUGCAAGUCGAACGAGAAAGUCCUUCGGGAUGAGUAGAGUGGCGCACGGGUGAGUAAUAAAUAGGGACGUGCCUUUGGGUGGGGGAUAACUACGGGAAACUGUAGCUAAUACCGCAUAAGUACGAAAGUAGAAAGUGGGCCUAUGCUUGCAAGCUCACGCCGAGAGAGCGACCUAUUUCCCAUUAGCUAGUUGGUAGGGUAAAGGCCUACCAAGGCGACGAUGGGUAGCUGGUCUGAGAGGACGGCCAGCCACACUGGAACUGAGAAACGGUCCAGACUCCUACGGGAGGCAGCAGUGGGGAAUCUUGCACAAUGGGGGCAACCCUGAUGCAGCAACGCCGCGUGAGUGAAGAAGGCCCUUGGGUCGUAAAGCUCUUUCGACAGGGAAGAAGUGGACGAAGGUUAAGAGCUAUUGUUUGUGACGGUACCUGGAGAAGAAGCACUGGCUAAUUCCGU